GAUGAACGCUGGCGGCGUGCCUAAUACAUGCAAGUCGAGCGGACGGACGAGAAGCUUGCUUCUCUGAUGUUAGCGGCGGACGGGUGAGUAACACGUGGAUAACCUACCUAUAAGACUGGGAUAGCUUCGGGAAACCGGAGCUAAUACCGGAUAAUAUUUUGAACCGCAUGGUUCAAAAGUGAAAGACGGUCUUGCUGUCACUUAUAGAUGGAUCCGCGCUGCAUUAGCUAGUUGGUAAGGUAACGGCUUACCAAGGCAACGAUGCAUAGCCGACCUGAGAGGGUGAUCGGCCACACUGGAACUGAGACACGGUCCAGACUCCUACGGGAGGCAGCAGUAGGGAAUCUUCCGCAAUGGGCGAAAGCCUGACGGAGCAACGCCGCGUGAGUGAUGAAGGUCUUCGGAUCGUAAAACUCUGUUAUUAGGGAAGAACAUAUGUGUAAGUAACUGUGCACAUCUUGACGGUACCUAAUCAGAAAGCCACGGCUAACUACGUG
rnacentral:rRNA from 1 species